GGCCUGCGCGGAAGAUGUAACGGGGCUAAACCAUGCACCGAAGCUGCGGCAGCGAACGUAUCACCCAAGACAACUUUACGGAGUUGACGAUUGACGGAGCGAAGCGACGUCAAAGCGUUCAUUAAAGUCGAGUUGGCUUAGGGAUACGUUCGUUGGGUAGGGGAGCGUUCUGUAAGCCUGUGAAGGUGUGUCGUGAGGCAUGCUGGAGGUAUCAGAAGUGCGAAUGCUGACAUAAGUAACGAUAAAGCGGGUGAAAAGCCCGCUAGCCGGAAGACCAAGGGUUCCUGUCCAACGUUAAUCGGGGCAGGGUGAGUCGACCCCUAAGGCGAGGCCGAAAGGCGUAGUCGAUGGGAAACGGGUUAAUAUUCCCGUACUU
rnacentral:rRNA from 1 species